rnacentral:rRNA from 1 species
AGAGUUUGAUCCUGGCUCAGGAUGAACGCUGACAGAAUGCUUAACACAUGCAAGUCUUUGGCGAAGCUGUGCUUGCACAGCCUAGCCAAGGCGGACGGGUGAGUAACGCGUAAGGAACUUGCCCUGCAGUCAGGGAUAACAGACGGAAACGACUGAUAAGACCUGGUAAAGUCAGGCGGGCUCAUGUCCAGCCUGAUGAAAAGAGAUGCUGCAGGAGAGCCUUGCGUCCUAUUAGCUUGUUGGUGGGGUAACGGCCCACCAAGGCGAUGAUAGGUAGCCGGCCUGAGAGGGUGGACGGCCACAAGGGGACUGAGAUACGGCCCUUACUCCUACGGGAGGCAGCAGUGGGGAAUAUUGGACAAUGGGGGCAACCCUGAUCCAGCAAUUCUGUGUGCACGAUGAAGGUUUUCGGAUUGUAAAGUGCUUUCAGCAGGGAAGAAAAAAAUGACGGUACCUGCAGAAGAAGCGACGGCUAAAUACGUGCCAGCAGCCGCGGUAAUACGUAUGUCGCAAGCGUUAUCCGGAAUUAUUGGGCAUAAAGGGCAUCUAGGCGGCCAGAUAAGUCUGGGGUGAAAACUUGCGGCUCAACCGCAAGCCUGCCCUGGAAACUAUGUGGCUAGAGUACUGGAGAGGUGGACGGAACUGCACGAGUAGAGGUGAAAUUCGUAGAUAUGUGCAGGAAUGCCGAUGAUGAAGAUAGUUCACUGGACGGUAACUGACGCUGAAGUGCGAAAGCUAGGGGAGCAAACAGGAUUAGAUACCCUGGUAGUCCUAGCUGUAAACGAUGAUUACUGGGUGUGGGCAUGAAGAGUGUCCGUGCCGAAGCUAAUGCGAUAAGUAAUCCGCCUGGGGAGUACGGCCGCAAGGCUGAACUCAAAGGAAUUGACGGGACCCGCACAAGCGGUGGAGCAUGUGUUUAAUUCGACGCAACGCGAGACUUACCAGAUCUGACAUCCUGCGAAGCUGCGAGAGCAGGCUGUGCCUCCGGGAACGCAGAGACAGGUGGUGCAU